UGCCUUUGAAGAUGAACUUCGUUUCCA
rnacentral:piRNA from 1 species